rnacentral:lncRNA from 1 species
UGAUUAAAGUAAUAUUAAUUUAUUUCUAUUUGAAUAGCUUUUUGGAAAAUAACAUAUUUUUUCGCUCUUGUUUUUGCUACAUAAGUAAGCAAAUUGAUAUUUGAAGAGUAAAAUUAAUACAGCUUUUUAGAGAUGCUCUUAGUUCAAGUUUCCAUUCAAGCCCAACUCUAUUUCAAUUAAGGAGCACAUUCUUGUGACACAUGGCUUGGUGAAACUUCCGCCCCAAACAAAAUGUUGUCAGGAUUGCUACCAUGUGUAUAUCAAAAUUUGUAAUGUAGAAAUGGUGUAGGAAAUAUUAAAAUUAUACUUGAUAUAGUAGGGAAAAUACACGAAAUACACAAUAUAGGAGGAAUAGAUUCUGAAACAACAGAUUACCAAUUAGAUUUUACAUAUAACGAACAAUGGAAAUAUUAAUUAGAGCAAUGAAAUGACAAUAUAAAUAAGAUAAAAGAAUAUAAUGCAAACUGAGGCAUGUGCGAUACCACAGUUUAUUUAAAUCAAAUUCUCCUUGAACUCUCAGAUGCUUUAGGAUUUGAAUGGCAUUUAUUUUCUAGGACAGAACAACACUGAAUAACUCUGGCGCAUUACCAAAUUGUUUCACAGUGAACUUCCAUUGUGUUUGAAUUCUAUCAAAAUGGGUAUAAAAUGAGAAACUAAAGUCUAUCUAAUUCUAUUUUUCUGUCUAUCACUUGUUUUUGUACAUUUUGUAUGUCUCUUGCCUCUUCUUAUUGCUUCCUUGAAAUGAAGAAGAAUUUCAAUUUAUAAACUUCUGUUUGGGGUAUUUUCGUCCAUAUAUUUGAUUACUAUAAAUUCUGUAAUCGGCGCAUUUAAUUUCUUAUUUACUGCUUUUAUAAUAUCUAAUUGAAAGUGUAAUAGCUACCUUUUAAACCUUUGAUUUAAUUUUUUAAUUAAAUUCAAAUUGUAACCGCAACUUCAUUAACCAUGUAUUAAAUUUUGGAUUUAAUUAAUCAUUAAAAUCUGAGAAUAAAUUUUAAAUUUAAUUAGUAGUUACAAAUAACAAAUUCUAAAAUUGAUUGCAUUAAUUAAUUCCAAAUCUAAUUAGCCGUUACAAUCUCUAUAACUCGUGCUUUUAUCCAAUGCCAUCAAUGGAUAUACAAUGAGCGUGAAUUUCUCAUUCACCAUUUUGAGUAUAUAAGUACAUCAUUUCGAAAUACUUAGAAAGAAGAUUUUCAAUUAUUCUUGACCUUCCACUUACAUUAAUUAAGUCCCACUCAAAAUUAUAUUUUCAAUCAGCUACUCAUUAUACUAUUUUUGCAAUGGAUGCAAUUGUAGUAGAAAUGGUGUCUUGUACUUCGUUUUUAGUAGCCAUCUAGCAAAAGAAUUACAGAUUAGGAGAAACAGUCACCUGAUGAAUUCAUUAACAGUCCUGUUAUACAUUACUUGAAAUUGUUGAUGUAAAGAAGUAAGUAUCACUGGCCCUGUUAUUUAUCGGACAAUAAAAUUUCUCAUUUGGCUGAUGAUCAGCUGGAUCACAAUCAUAAAGCAAGGUGGUAUAGUUAGUUACGUAUGUGUAUGCUUAAUUGGAUUCUGGCACUACCUGUUAAGAGAAACCGAAACUGAGUGAUUUUUGUUCCAAGCUUCUGUCUUUUCUCAAUGUGUCCGAAAGAUAUCAAAUGGACCUUUCAAACUCGUGUUUGAUGACUUCUAGUAGAUUGUAAAAAAUUAAAAAUUGUUGUCCACUUGUAGAAUGUCCUACUAGCCAGUUGCCAGCUUCAAUUCUUCCAUUUACAGCACCACCAAAUAUUCUAAACAUUUUACCCUUCAUGAUCUUGUAAAGUUUAAGGUCAAAUAUCACUGAUAAAAUCAUUCAUCAAAAUAAUGUGUAUGGUGUUCUUUCUUUGUCUACAGAUAAAAUUUUUGUAGGUCUGAUUGCUAGUUUUGCAACAUUUGAUGAUUUUGAAAUAUGUUUCUGUUGCUUUACCUUGCUGCCAAGUUCCUAAUUUAGAUAGUGAUCUGAAUUCAUGUUGAGCAUUUGUUUUGAUGAAUGUUUUAAGGAGUUGACCUCAUUAGAUCAUUUUAAUUUCUUGGCUGGAUAUAUAAUAAGUCUUCAAAUUUGCGUCCUUACUGUCUCACUUCAGCUUCGCAAGUCCAUCUUUUGACUUUGUCUAUGAUCAAUAGUUUGAUGAGCAAUGGCUACUCUAAAAAUCAUUGAUAAGUGCAUAUUUUUUCUAUAUUUUAUUA